UCUUUUCAGUCCUAAACACAACCAUCGAACAACAUAUCUAGACUUGUGCAUUCACUCAUACCUAUAUUCAAAAUGAAGGCUGCUCUCCUAGUAUUAGCACUUCUGGUCAUCGCCCUAUACCCAAGAGAAUCUGAUGCAUUUACUGCUGGUAUUGGUAAUGUUGGUAAACGACAAUACAAGGUUGAACGAGCCUUUGAAAGAGUCUGUAGAAUCACAAUGGAGGCCUGUGUUCAAGCAUCCGCUAAACGAAGCGCUGAAGACUCAGAUUCACCUCUUUUAAAGAACUAAAAAAAUGGACCCGACUCCGAAUACAAACUAACAUUAGAACAAAUAGCAUGAAUGGGAAAGAGCGAGAAUGAACGACAACUAUGUGACAAUUCAUGUAUAUUUAAGCGUGUCCUGCUGCUUAUUGUAGAAAAAUGUAACCUAGGUGUGGUGCACAAUCGUGAAUGUCAGAUAUGGUGUCUUGAAAUAAAUGGAAUAUUAUCGAAAUGGAUGAUAAAUAAAUAAAUAUUUAAUAAAUUGGCAAAGCUAACGAA